UGCAAACUUCUUUUCCAGAAAAGGUCAUCUCUUUCUGCUCCUACAAGCCAGGUCUGGGUGUGCAUCCCCACGAGGUUCAUGGCUGUCAGGUCUCCCGCCUGGUGAGCAUUUGGCUGGGGGUUGGGGGGGAUGGCCCCAUCUUGGACUGGCUCAGACUGGCUCGUGCUGGCUCAGUCACUCCUGGGCUCACCGGCUGCAGGGCCGUCCCAGGCCCGAGGGUGCCACAGCGGACAGGCCGCCCCGUGCCGUCCAGGACACAGGUCAUGGAAGGGCGGAGGCGAGCGGUGGCAGGGGCCCUGCUCCCCCGCGGGCUGCCCACAGCAUUGGCGCAGGGAGCGCAGGAAGGGGAGUGGGUGUCUUGCCAGCUCAGCUGCUGUGACAGAUGCCACCAAUAGCGGCUCUGGGGCCUGGACGUCAGAGCUCCAGGUGCCACAGGGCUGGCCACUCCCAGGCCUCGCUCCAUGGCCGAGUCCGCACGUGGCCUCUCCUCCCCACCCUGUGACUUCACCUCACCUGCGUCACCUCCUCGAAGGCCCGUCUCCACAGACGGUCACGCUGGGGUGAGGGCUUCAAACUGUGAGUUUUGGGGAGCCUGUGCGGGAAGAGCUUUCUGGGCGCUUCCCAGGAGUCUGUGAUGGGUGGAGGGAAAACGGAGUGCGAACUAGAUAAGGUACAGCUGUUACCCCAGACCUUAGAGACACCCGGGGCACGCUUCCCUCGCUGCCUCUGAGGAUCUGCAAACGUGCGGAGCCUCAGCGAGCCCCAGAUGGUAGGGGUUUAGUGCUCUCCCUGCCUGUCUCGACGCCCCGGAGGGAAUGGGGGUCGGGGAGGGUGCGUCCAGGAUGCAAAUACUGAUUUACUGGGGAACCUGGAGUCCGGUUUCUGACUGGCUUGGCCUCCGCCCCCGGGAGCCUGUGCAGUGUUACCCGCUCUGUACACGGCGGACCCGGGAAGGAUGGUUCCGGAAUCCGAGGGGAUCCGAGCGGACGCCUCCCGCCCCGCGCAGGUUCAAGGUGGAGGCCGAGCCUUGUAAACCAGCACCUCUGCCCCCCGCACCCGCCGCCAGACUUGAAGGAAAACCCUCAAGGUGAAGAAACUAAAAUGGCGUAUUUUGGGGCUUUUGAAACAUAAGGAGUUCUGAUUUUUCUUCUUGAAAAGAGACGAUUUUAGAACCUCCUUGGCAUCCCACAGUCCUCUUGGUGGUCUCAUCUUUUUCUCCUAUUUUAAUGUGUAAUGAAGCUGUACUUCAACAAUUGCAUUGGGACCAUCUGCCCAGUAGACGCUGCACUUGUAUUUUUACUUUCUAUUACAAAAAUGACCAGAAAUGCAGCUUCGCUCUGCUCUACGCAAUAGAUGUUUAUCUCAGAGUCUUUAAAGUGAAUUCCAUUUUAAAGUGUAUUAGAAUAGCUGGAUAUUUAAAGGACCCUGGCCAGAGUUCUUUAGUGAAGAAGCACUCAGGUACUUCAGAGACUUUGAAAGCAGGAGUGACCGUGUAAACAGGACCGCAGACGCCCUGACCCUCAGACCUGAGAGGACAGUGUCCGCGCUGUGAGGCCCGCCCUCGUUCUGUGUAGUAGGGCCCCGAGUUCUCCGGAACCCACCCCCAGGCGUCCCCGCCCCCGCUCCCUCUGAUGUGCAAAUGCAGGAGGAGGAAGGACGGGUUCGUUCACCCUUCACCAGGCCGCCCGAGGUGACCAGCACGGGCUGGGAAAGGAGCUGAGUGGACGCGGUUCGCUUUGGGACGCUGGCGGGGACGAAUGGUCUCUCUUCCCCCUUAUCUAUCCAUCUGUGAAUCCUCUAGAGCAUUCAGGCUCGGAGCGAGAACGGUUUGUGUUACGUGGCUCAGCUUAGCACACGAAGCAGGUCAGCUUCCAGGAAUGCACAGGAGGGGCCGAGGCGCCCUGGACCCCCUCCCUCCCUUGGGUUAUGUUCACCCCGCGUGUGCAAACGGCCGGAGUGGCCUGGGCCUCGGCUGGAUGGAGAAGGCCGGCUCGCAGACGCCAGGGCGGGGUUUGUCGGCUCGGGCGUCAGACUCCGGGACGACUCCAGCUCGUACAUGGUGGUCAGGUUGAAGAGUGCGCUCUCGUGCAGGCAGUGCCGCGGGUCCUGCUGGGUCAUGGCCUCCAGCUGCCGCAGCGAGUCCUUGAGUCGGCCCAGAAUCUCUGUGAAGCAGCGGUGGGCUUCUGCAAAGUUAUUCUGACCGAGGUGAAGGAAAGCUCUGGAAAUAAGCAACGCAGAGGAUUAACCAGGAAAGUCAGGAUGCGGGCAGGUGCGCGGCAGCAGCACUGACGGGGCGGCUCCAGGACUGGAGCCCCACAGGGAGAGCCAGGCAGCACUGGCCCCACAGGCGCCACCCGAGCCAGGUGGUGGCAGUGCUUUCCAGAUACGGCAGGGGACAGGGCAUUCUGGGGAGCAAACUGCACUGGGUCUGACGUCUGUUAGUUUAAUUCGAUCCCUAUCAAAAUACCGAUGGCAUUUUUCACAGAACUGGGACAAAAGAAUUUUAAAUUUGUAGGGAAACACAAAAGACCCCGAAUAGCCAAAACUAUCUUGAGAAAGAAAACUGGAGCUGGAGGAAUCACGCUUUCUGACUUCCGACUAUACUACAAAUCUACAAUGAUCAAAACAGUAUGGUACUGGCACAAAAACUGACAUAGAUCAAUGGACCAGGAAAGAAAGCCCAGAGGCAAACCCACACACCUAUGGUCGACUAAUCUAUGACAAAGGAGGCAAGAAUAUACAGCAGAGAAAAGUCUCUUCAGCAAGUGGUGUUGGGAAGACUGGACAGCCUCAUGUAAAAGAAUGAAAUUAGAGGGAAUUCCCUGGCAGUCCAGUGGUUAGGACUCGGCUCUUUCACUGCUGGGGCCCAGGUUCGACCCCUGAUCAGGGAACUAAGAUCCUGCAAGCCCUGUGCCCUGUGGCAUGGCCCCAGGCGCCCCCCCCAAAAAAAAGAAUGCAAUUACAACAUCCCUUCAUGCCAUACAAAAAAAUAAGUAAACUCAAAAUGGAUUAAAAACCUAAAUAUAAGACCAGAAACCAAAAAACUCCUAGAGGAAAUCGUAGGCAGUACACUCUGUGACAUAAAUAGUAGCAAUAUUUUUUUUGGAUCCGUCUCCUAAAGCAAAGGAAAUAAAAGCAAAAAUAAACAAAUGGGACCUAAUUAAACUUAAAAGCUUUUGUAUAGCAAAGGAAACCAUCGAUAAAAUGAAAAGGCAGCCUACUGAGUGGGAGAAAAUAUUUGCAAGUGAUAUGACCUAUAAGGAGUUAAUAUCCAACAUAUAUAAACAGCUCAUUCAGGGACUUCCCUGGUGGUCCAGUGGUUAAGAAUCGGCCUUCCAAUGCAGGGGAUGCGGGUUCGAUCCCUGGUUGGGGAACUAAGAUCCCACAUGCCACGGGAUGCCUCAACUAGAGAGCCCGUGCACUGCAACGAAGAGCCCACUUGCUGCAACGAAGAUCCCGUGUGCCACAACAACCAAGACCCAAUGCAGCCAAAUAAAUAAAUAAAUACUAAAAAAAAUAAACAGCUCAUUCAAUUCAACAUAAAAAAAGAUUAAAAACUGGGCAGAAGACCUGAAUAAACCCCUACUUACAUGGUCGAUUAAUCUGUGACAAAGGAGGCAAGAAUAUACAAUGAGGCAAAGACUCUUCAAUAAAUGGUGUUGGAUAAACAGGACAGCUACAUGCAAGAGAAUCAGACUAGACUCCUAACUCACACCAAAGUAAAUUCAAAAUGAAUUUAAAACUUAAAUGUAAGACCUGAAACCAUACAACUUCUAGAGGAAGAUACAGGCAGUAUUCUUUGACAUCAGUCUUAGCAAUAGUUUUUUGGAUCUGUCUCCUCAAGCAAGAGAAACAAAAGCAAACAAACAGCCAGGACUACAUCAAACCAAGAAGCUUUUGCACAGUGAAGGAAACUCAACAAAAUGAAAGGGCAGCCAACCGAAUGGGAGAAGAUAUUUGCAACUGGUAUAUAUCAAAUAGGGGUUAACAAAGAACUCAAACAACUCAACAUCAAAAAUACCUGAUUAAAAAAUGGGCAGAGGACCUGAAUACACAAUUUUCCAAGGAAGACAUACAGAUGGCCAGACACAUGGAAAGAUGCGCAAUGUCACUAAUCAUCGGGGAAAUGCAAAUGAAAACCACAAUAAGAUACCACCUCACACCUGACAGAACGGCUGUUAUCAAAACGACAACAAGUAACAAGUGGUGGUGAGGCUGUGGAGAAAGGGGACCCUUGUGCCCUGUUGGUGGGAAUGUAAACUGGUGCAGCCACUGUGGAGAACAGUAUGGAGGGUCCUCAAAAAACUAGAACUAGAGCUGCCAUAUGAGCCAGCAAUUCCACUCCUGGGUAUUUAUCCAAAGAAAAUAAAAACACUAAUUAGAAAAAAAUACAUGCACCCCUACGUUCACUGCAGCAUUAUUUACAAUUGCCAAGAUACAGAAAGCAAUCUAAGUGUCCAUCAACAGAUGAAUGGAUAAAGGGGUGUGCGUGCAGUGCAUGGAAUAUUACUUGGUCAUAAAAAAGAAUGAAAUCUUACCAUUUGUGACAACAUGGAUGGACCUAGAGGGCAUUAUGCUAAGUGAAAUAAGUCAGAGAAAAACAAAUACUGUACGAUUUCACUUAUAUGUGGAAUCUAAAAACGAACAAACACAGAACAGAAACAGUUACAGACACAGAGAACAAACAGGUGGUUGCCAGAAGUGGGGUGGGUGAGGGGAGGACAGAAACAGGUGAUUAAGGGAGGGGGAUAUAGAGGGACAAACUUCAGGUGCAAAAUAAACAUGUCACGGGUCUGAAAUGCACAGUGUGAGGAAUGCAGUCAGUGAUAAUGUGAGAACUGUGUGUGGAGACACGUCAUAAUUAGACUAAUGGUGGUGAUAGUUUGAAAGCUAUAGAAAUAUCAAGUCCCUAUGUUGUAUAACAGAAACUAACACAGUGUUGCAAGGCAAUUAUACUUCAAACAAACAGAAAAAGAUCAGAUUUGUGGUUGCCCGUGGAGGGGAAGGGGGAGGGGGGAUUAGAUGAAGGUGGUCAAAAGGUACAAACUUCCAGUUAUAAAUAAGUACUAGGGAUGCAGUGUGCAACACGAUGAACAUAGUUAACACGGCCGUAUGUUACAUGUGAGAUGAUGGAUGUUCAGUGAACUUACUGUGGUCCUCACUCCAUGAUGUCAGUAUGGAAAUCAGAUAGAUCACCAUGCUGCACACCUUACACUUACACCGGCUGUAAGUUAAUUAUAUCUCAGUAAAACUGGAAGGAAAAAUAAAGGAAAAAUACAUACCUGUUCAUUAAAACCAUUAUUUUACCCUGCAGUCCAUCCAGUUUCUGUGUUACUUUCUCUACGUCUUGAAAGUACUUUUCAGCUGUCUUUAUGUCUCCAAUCUGCUUUGACAAAAUUAUGUAGUCAGUUCAGCUGACAAAUGUUAAAUCUAAACCCACAUACACAGUUUCCUCAUGUUAUGUAUCAGGCAGGGUAAAACUCUGGUAUAACCAUUUACUGAUUAUCACUUUUUGUUACCAAAAAAAAGUAAGAGCCAUUUAGGAUACAGCAGGACGUCAACAUCUAUCUCUACGUCAGCAAGUGAGUGGUUAAUACACCUGCAUGUUAACAAGUCUCUUACAAUUUUUAAUUUGUACCCUUCAAAAGGAAUCCUGGCAUAGCAUUAUGAAAACUAAAAAUACCUCCCGACUCCGGCCAGGCCCCGGGCCCGUUCUUAAACCUGCCCGUGGAUCAUUUCAAGAAACCUCUGCCAUGUGGCACCCAGGCAAAACAUGCUCCACAAGUCCAACUUGUAUAUUUGGCAAAUUAAACUUGAUAUUAUCGUUAAAAAAAAAAGAAAAAAAAAAGAAUGACUAAAAAAGUACAACAUUUACCUUUUGGUAUAAUAUUACAGUCUCCCAGUCAAUUAUUGGGGGGUUAUUUGUGACCAGUAAAAUGACAGAGAUCAUCAAACUAACAAAUUUCAGUCCUAUUCUGACCCAAUAAUACAGAAUUCUAUCGUGCGAACAAAUGGCUGCGCUCUUAGCGAACGGUUACAGAGACCUCCUCAGCUCCCUCUAAAAUGAAGCCAGAGCCACUGGGGGUCCUGAUGGCUAAACCCCCUCCCCCGUCCUGCCAUCGCUGCGGACCACAGCCUGGGGGGCGGGGGGUUAAGAGGGAAUCGGGUCUCCUUCUGCACGAGGAAGGAGAUCAGUGAUCUAAGGCUUAGACUGCAAAAUACAGGAAAAAUGAAAACCUGUGACAACAAAGACCUUACGACCAGGGUGAAGGAAGAACAAAGGCCUCUGUGUUCCAGGCCUAAAGGAGCAGCUCUGGAGCAGCUGACUCCAGGGCAUCUCGUUACAACACACCACGAGGUGUCUCUGCAUCUGCCGAGGGGACAGCAUCGCAGCUGCAGUGUCAGCGCCCUCUUCUGCACACUCACCCCCAUCCCGAUUCCCGGGGUCCACCUGCCGGGAGCGCUUGUUCCCUUCCCCUUCCUUCCAGGGAAGCCCGCGUACUACCUCCCUGCAGCCGAGGGCAGGCGUGCCCACCACCCAGCACCAAGGGUCUGGGUUACUCUCCACAGUGAGACCCCUGCAGGCAGCACCCGGCCCCUUCACGGUACCCUGGGAAACCAGGGCCUGGUGUUUGGUGACACAAAGACACUGGCUGCACUGCUGCUGCUGUGAGUAAUGAGCGCCCUUCGUCGCCGACCCGGGGAUCUCGAGUCCUCAGCCAGCGCCCAUCAAGCUACCCUCACGGUCUCCGGCCCCUCUCUGUUGUCAAUGCUGCCCCGAAAAACACCCCGCCAGGAGGAGGAAACAAAGUGGCACCAUCCGCGCGUCUACUGGCCCCGCCCUCACGCACACGGUGGGAGCACCCGGGGUCCCCCACAGAGGCCUGAACAUCUGCGUCCCCCGCAGUGCGCUCACUUACCCUGCAUCCUCCAGGGCCCAGGGGCAUACUGAUGGAGAUACUGACGCUCACCAGCUGAUAACAAAGGUGCACCAAGCCCUAAAUGUCUGCUGGGUGCUGUGCUAAGUGCUUCCCACCGCUCACAACUUCUAACAAGCUGUGCUGUUGGUCCCACUCCUUUCUUCACUCUCUGGAUUAAAAAGAUGAGGCUCAGAAAGGCUGGGCGGCUUCCUCAGGUCACAAAGCUAACAUAACAGAAUGGGACUGUCCAACUCCCAGACCACGUGCUGGCCCUCUGCACCGCACGGCCUCAAGGAGCUGGUACAGGACUUGCGCUGAAACUAUUUUCUAGUGGGAGAUAACGAAGGAAUCUUAGAAUUUUCUUUGCACCUGAUUUUUCUGGUCAUUAGAAGGGCAAUUUCUCAAGGAAUCCAUCUCAGCGCUUCCCAGAUGAUAAUCUACGAAAAUGCACGUCUAGCAACUGGCUUCCUAAUCACGUCAAAGCCCGGAGCACCGUCAAGCCAGGACCAAGAAAACUGCCCCUUCUACAGCCACAGAAGUCUGACUUGAUGUACUUCCUGUUCUCUUUCUGCAAUCUACAGCAUCCACGCUAAGGCGACCCCCGGCCCACCCUGCCAGCCGCGCGGCUCACCUGGAGGAAGAUCCGGCCAAUGCAGCUCAGCAGCUGGGGCUCCUGGUGUGGGUAGUACUGGACGACCGAGCGGUACGCGUCCACGGCCAGCACGUAAUCCUGCGGGGGACCCAGAGAGCAUCCCAGAGUUAGGAGGAGCACGCUGUUUUACACGUUACAGGAGCGCAGGUACCUGCAGACUCGCACGUGAAGCGGGAACACGAAUGCGUGGGCAGGUGGGACGUGGCACCGCCGUGAGGGCGGCAGAUGGCCCAGCAAACCAGGCUCUGAGUUCUGUGUGUAACCACGGCCCUGAGAGCCUUCCUCUCCCCGAGGGGCUCUGGUUGUGCACUGAGGGCAGAGGGGCUUUCUUCUUCCAGCUUCUGAGUAGCAACUAGUAUUUCACCUGGACUCACUCUUUCUUUUCUGACAAAAUCCUUAAUUGGUGAAUUUUGUCUUGCCUCCAUCUGCCAGACACAGAAACUGAAUUUAUUAAUAGCGUCUCUUAAACAUUUUCUUUACUAAAACUCGAGGUAAAGUUCUUAAAUGCAGACAAACAUAAGCCCCGUAAAACAGGUGGGCCGGGAGAGCUCGCUGGCUCUGGCGGGAGGAGGCCAUCCGGGGCACCUGGCCGUAUUGCCAGGGGCACAAGGACAAAUCCCCAACAGCCCCGAGCUCAGACGGCAGGGUCGCCGUCCCGCCUGCUGGUGGGCACUGUCCCGGGCUCGUGUGAACAGCUCCCUGCGUCUCCCGGGUCAGCAAACAGCAGGCCGCGCGGCAGUGUUCUCCUCACUGAGUCUUCGUAAAACCCCACAAGGUACUUUUCUUUCUUUCGUCGUCUACGUUUCCAAUGUCAUGAAAACUGGGACAGGCGUUACUAGUUCGCUAACUGGAUGUUAUGAAGACAGACGACAAGAAACGUUCCAGUUUAGCAGAGAAAAAAAUAAAUGGAAAGACUCUGGCAGCUUCGAGAGCAGCUCUUCACGACGAACUGGACUUGCUGGUGCAGGUGGCGAGCCGGCAGUACCUGACUGUCCCCCUCGGCUCCUGCCACCUCUGCCCGCACCCUGCCCAGCGGGAGCGCGCAGGUGAGGGUGUGCCGAGAGCCCGCUCUCGGGGCGGCAGUGACCCCCCGGUGCCUGGGGUCCGAGGGACGCUGAGGCCCGGCUUGGGGUCCGGCGCUGCUGAGCCCUGGACUUCUGCGGGGAGACGGGGGCACCUCGGAGCAUCUGAGAAUCACCCACUGUGCUGAACGUCUACGCCUCACUUCAGGCUUAGGGCGAACGAAAGGCCACCUCGCCGUUCGUGUCCGGCGGCGCCCAAGUGUCACCGGGUCAGGCCAGUGCACACGCCCCGAUCCCGGCCCGCGUCUCCGGGUGGCUCUGUGGCCGGCGUCGCCGCCUGACACCUCCACGUCUCGGCGCUCCGGCCUGCUACGGAGAGGCAUGCGGCCGCUGUCCCCCCCGGAGCGGCGCUCCUGGGAGAGCACGGCUGGGCGAACACAGCCGUGGGGACCCCGUGCGGAGGCUUUCAGACGAGGCGCCGGGCCCGGGUGGCAGCCCCGGGUGGCUGCAGCCUCGGGCCCAGGCCCUGGCGGUUCCAAGGAGCCCGGCCUCCAGUAAACCAGAGCGGAGCGCGGCCCAGAGCUUGUCAGCAGACGACCAUUUAACGAAAUCGUUUAUUUACCGGAGGAAAGGAGGAAAUGCGGCCCCGGCUGAAGGGCGCUCUUGAGGGCGAGCGCCGUCCAGGCCGCGGGCAGGCGGGCGCGGCCGCUCGCAGGGACCGACUGCUCUAGCUCCGUCUUCCCCCUCUUCUUUCAGCAGCUGCACCGUCUGGCGGGGCACGGAGGCGGGCGGCGCGGCGCCCUGAGUCUCCCAGAUGGGCUGGGGUGCCCAGGCUGCGACAGUGUUCCAGGCACACGUUCAGGCUGAAGCGUGUGGACAGACUUCUCAUCGUUAAAAAGGUGAAUCAGCGUUCACGUCGCCGUAGCAGAAAUGUUAUUCAGAAUAAGAAGCGGCUGCUGAAGUAACCCAGCGUCGCCCAUACACGAACGGAAGGGACGGGACGCGCCGGUGAGGCCGACGCUGCUGUAAUUCCGGGCUCGCUCACUAGGUGGCGACAGGAUGCGCACGCGUGCUGGCGCCUCAGCCGCAAAAUUUUUCAUUCCUUUUUUUAACUCGUGGAAAUGAAAGCAUAAUCUAAAAUCUCAAAUUAAACUGCACUUGUGGUAAAAGUAUUUUUGAAGCACAGUGAUCUGUUCUGUACUGAGUCCCGACAACGUAGGUACAAGACUUAGUCUGGCGCCUGGUGGUAUCAUCACUGCAGCAGUAGACAAAGGGUGUUCUUAUCCCACAAUUUUCUAUUAAUGUGCCUUAAAAAUGCACACAGGAAGCCACCAGUGGAACAGGAGACCCUCCUGAGGUGUCCCAGCCCGUGACCAAGGAGACACCGAUCGGCCCGUGACCUUACGAUGUGUCCUUUGUUUCUGCACGUGAGCCGGCGAGCUCCACGGAAGGAAGGCGGCAGUGGCCCUGGGCGGCUCCCUCCACCCGCGGGAGGGACGGGGCGCCGUGUCAGGGGUCACGGUGGCAGGAAGGGAGGAGCUGAGAGAACCAGAGCGCCUUAAC